rnacentral:rRNA from 1 species
UACGUAGGGGGCAAGCGUUUUCCGGAAUUAUUGGGCGUAAAGCGCGCGCAGGCGGUGCGUUAAGUCGGAUGUGAAAGGCUACGGCUCAACCGUAGAGCUGCAUCCGAAACUGGCGGACUUGAGUGCAGGAGAGGGGAGUGGAAUUCCCGGUGUAGCGGUGGAAUGCGUAGAGAUCGGGAGGAACACCAGUGGCGAAGGCGACUCUCUGGCCUGUAACUGACGCUGAGGCGCGAAAGCGUGGGGAGCAAACAGG